rnacentral:rRNA from 1 species
AAUUUUGGACAAUGGGGGAAACCCUGAUCCAGCCAUCCCGCGAGAAGGAUGAAGGCCUUCUGGUUGUAAAGUACUUUUGGCAGAGAAGAAAAGGUACCUCCUAAUACGAGGUACUGCUGACUGUAUCUGCAGAAUAAGCACCGGCGAACUACGUGCCAGCGGCCGCGGUAAUACGUAGGGUGCAAGCGUUAAUGGGAAUUACUGGGCGUAAAGGGUGUGUAGGCGGUUCGGAAAGAAAGAUGUGAAAUCCCAGGGCUCAACCUUGGAACUGCAUUUUUAACUGCCGAGCUAGAGUAUGUCAGAGGGGGGUAGAAUUCCACGUGUAGCAGUGAAAUGCGUAGAUAUGUGGAGGAAUAACGAUGGCGAAGGCAGCCCCCUGGGAUAAUACUGACGCUCAGACACGAAAGCGUGGGGAGCAAACAG